UGUUUCUUCACUUUCAUUUUAGUGGUGAAUAAAUCAAAGCAGGCUGCUCCCUUUGGGACAUGGCAGGAUUCUGGAUUUGAAUUCAGAUCGGGCUCACUUCCUUUCACUGCGAGAAGAGGCAGUUCCCAUGUGAGGUGAAGGGCUGAGGGUCCAGCCUGCAGGAGCCCACGGCCUUUAGGAGGACAGCAGGAAGGCAGGUGAGUCACUGGAUACCUUAGGGUGGUGUGAUAAGUACUGUUAAGUUCUUCCAGCUGGUAUUUACUCAACACCUACUAGGUGCCAGGUGUUCUGCUAAGCCCUCUGGGGCCAGUGCUGUGCACAUCAGCUCUGCCCUCCCGGACCCUCCCUUGUGGUGGGUGAGGUUGACACUAGUGGCACGAGCACCGUGGAAGCACACAGAAGGGGCCUCCGAGCCAGACCAGUUGGUCAGGAAGGCUUCUCAGAGGAGCCGCGGCUUCUGGCUUACCGGAUUUUCCAAUGGUGGGCCUGGAGGUGCUGCCAGAUUGGAUUUUUCAGGAAGAACCUUUGAAAUCUUGCUCAUCCUUAGGUUCUACAAACCCGCCAGGCACAUUCCGUAAUUGGAGAACUGAGAAAAGCACUAGCCAGGUGUUUUCUAUUGCGUGCAGCCUGCACUCUGCCUGGUGAGUGGCUAUAUCCGCAGCCAUAACCACAAGGAGCCCUGUGGGAUGAGCUCUCCUAGGGCGGCCUCUCCGUCAGCCUUCCAGGGCACAGGAGCCAGCAGACAAGUCCCAGCAAGCCUGACCCGGCAGCGAGAAGAAUUUGGGGGUGGAAGCGUGGUUUUGAACCGCAGCCUUAGGGGUUCCUGCUGUACCGGGCUUCUGCGGUUUGCUUUCGGAUGAGAGGAAAUGGUUCCUUAAGAAAAGCCAUUCCAAUCUUUCUGUCUCGUUUUUUCCUGAGUUGCUCAACACCUUUUCAGACGCUCUUGUUUUCACAGAGAAGAACAAAGCCGCCUCCCGGAAGCCGUACCUGGGGUUUUGUUCUUGCCAAUACCGUGCAAAGCAGCAGCCCACAUGGCUUUGUAAGUCAGAAACAAGAACCCUUCAGUUCCGUCCAAAGAUCAAAAUCGCAGUAACGGAAGAAUAUGCUCCCAGUUUUAUUCAGAGCAUUCCCUGACAUGACCUCGUUGCAUUUUCAGAGCAGACGUGCGGAAGUGUAAAAUAAGAAGAUUUUCUAACGCUGGUGCUGCUUCAAGCUGCCUUGCCGGGCGCACAGAAGGACAGCCAGCUUCCAGCUCCUGAUGAGGUUUCUGACAUGGGUGGCUAACACUGUAAUGCAUACUCGACAGUGAAGAUCCCUGAGCACAGAGAAAUAAAAUGAACUGAUCAAGAUAAGACAAAUGAUAUUUAUGAGUACCUACUUUCUAUGUGGCAAACAUUGAAGAAUCAGAAAUGGACCACAUAGAAAGAGCCUGCUGGGAUGGAGUUUCCAUUAGAGAUGGGGAAAUGGACAAGACUUAAAGAGAGAAAUAUAAGAUAGUUACAGAUGGUGGUCAGGGAAGUCUUCUGGGAGGAGGCAACUGGAGUAGAGACCCAAAGGACUGACAAGGAGGAAAUGAACAGAUUCUCUAGGCAAAGCUUCAGAAAGCUGCCCAACCCCAGGAGAAAGGCUCUGCGUGGUCACGUCCAGCCUGUGCACAGUCUUUAACUCAGGGAACACCAGGCUGGUGACUGACUGAGACCGGUGCAGACUCGGAUGACCCUGACCUGGAUCUGUGAGCCCCUCUUCCCCAGAACAACAGCAAACCUGGACUCUGACGGCCUGGCAAAUUGAAAGGGGAAUGGAUACCCAGCCAGCCAGCCACCAGCCAGCCACCCUGUGCUCCCUGUGGACUGAGAGGGCAGACCCUGCCUCUAGCAUGCAUGGAUGUACAAAUCCAGGAGACGUGGAGCUGGGAAAGGCAGGAGUGAAGAUGAGAGUCUUGAGUUCCCGCCACCCGUCGCUGCUGUACCAAGGAUCACUGCCAUAACGCCCAUUCCUAACUGCAAACCACCUGGGAGUCCUGGUAGGAGGCUUACUUCUGAAGGGGGUUUUGCGCAUGUAGAAAAUCAAAUUUACUACUUGCUCUUUCUUCAGUGUUCAAUGUAAUUAUAUUUAUAAGUAUGUUAAGUGAAGUUUCUCUAAACAUUUAAACUUACAACUAAUAAAUCAAAAUGUAAACUUCACUACUCCUUUCAAAUUAUACAUUUUUGAAAAUUAUAAACCUUAGUUAAAUCCUCUUUCUCAAUAAAAUAAGCCUAAUGUGACCCAUUCCCUUAAGUGCUUCAAACACCUUAAAAACAGCCAUGCAAUUCACAAAGUACCAUAAUGAUUAAAAAGUGUAUUGCUGUAUUUAUAUCAACCUAUAAUAAAAUUAGUGACCCUAUAGUGACCCUAUAGAUACAGCUAAUUUCUUCAUUCUUUACAUACUUCAAUAUAUUUUAAUGCAUCUCUUCAGGUUGCAGAGACUUACCAAACAAAAAGUUUAUAGUAGGCAACCGAGAUUGUUGAAUUAUCAAUGAAUUGACUACUGAUCAGAACAAGGGAUGUGGUUAGGAUGUGCAAAGUGACUCAAACACCAGCAUUUCUUACCGGGUUCCUCUUAGAAUCAAGAUUAACUCAUUGUGUCAGUGAGAACGUCCACAGCCAUGCCUUUGCCUGUGAUUUUGUGUCCCUGCUGUCUCUUCCUUCAUUACAUCUGUAUCACAGAAUGUGUUAUGCUCUUCCCCAAAUUAUAUGUUGAAGUCUUAACCCCCAGGGCCUCAGAAUGAACUGUAUUCAAAAUUAGGCCUCUUUAAAGUGGUAAUUCAAGUGAGGUCCUUAAGGUGCAUCCUAAUCCAAUAUGGGUGGUGUCCUUCUAAGAAGAGGAGACUGGGAAACAGACACGUACAGAAGGGAGACAAUGAGAAGACACAGGGAGAAGAAAGCCAGCAGUCUGUAAGCCACACAGAGAGGCCUGGAGCAGUUCUCCUUCACAGUCUCAGAAGGAAACCCUGUAGACAUCUUGAUCUCAGACUGCUGGCCUCCAGACUAUGAAACAAUCCAUGGCUGUUUAAGUCUGGGGUGCUUCGGUUCAAUGGCCCUGGCAAACUGACAUAGGAUAUGCAGCCUGAAUUUACAAUUUAACUAGUUUUACAGUUUUUGCUUCUCAGUAAAAUGAGUUGAAUCAUCUGGAGGCUUUGUUUUCUAAGUGAUCAGAGGCUGACUUGAGCUAUCUGCCCUUCCUCCUGAAUUUUGACCCAUCCCUUAGACGGCAACCCACUGACACAUUUUCCACCUGACUCUUGUCUGCUGUCCCUUGAGCUCACGGGCCCUUCUGCUCUUGGUGUAAUUCCUGUCUCUUUUCAGAACCUUUUGCCCACCUCUCCCUACUAUGCCCCAAGGUGGGUAAAAAAAUAUGUCCCAAUACUUAUAAACAGGUACAUGAAAAACUAGGACAUCAUGUAUGUCAAUAGUUCCCUGCCAAAUUUAGUUUAUUUAAAAAUUGCCUUCACCCUUCUUUGGUAUUAUAAUUAUUACCACAUACCUUUUAAUGAACUUAUUUCAUCUUUGAAUGGCAUGGCUUUCUUAGAGAUUCAACACAUUCCAACUAGCUAUAGUUAAUAUUCUCUUUUGAUGCUCAAAUCAUCAUAAAGUGGCAAGUCGGAUUUGUUAAGAACUAUGACCUUUGCCCUUUCAGGGUGACACUAGAUAUUUUUAAGUUUCCUUGGCUUCUGGAAGUCACUGUAGCUUAAAAUCCAUUCAAAUGUUUCUCCCUCCCAAUACAUGGGAUCACUUGAUCUUGAUAGGGCUCAGUGCAGGCUACCCCAAGAUAUGACAGACAUAUUGAUUAUUUUGAAUUAAAGUUACCUCAGAAACAACCAGUGCAAAAAGGACACUCUGACCCUCCUCUCUGACCCCCGAGAACAGGAAAUAAAUCUCCCCUAGGGAAGGUCCCGUCCCUGCACCAGGGGGGGGUAGAGAGAUGUCCUUCGGCUGGACAUAGAGAGCUCAGGCUGGAAGGCUGUGUAAAACAACUCCUUAGUUUCUUCACUAAUUGGUUUCCAAGCCUAAAUUUCUUUGUCUUGUCAGUUUCACAGAUUUAUUGUCUCCUUGUCUAAGAGCUAUGAAAGCUGCCUGCUUUGGUCAUUUCUUUAAGUCUCAUAUUUCUAUGAGCUAAGGUACAUUUACAUGACAUUUUUCUCCUGUUAAUCUGUCUCAUGCCAAUUUAGUUAUUAGACCAGCCAAAGGAACCAAGAGGGUUGGGGAGGGGAUUUUCCUUUCCCAGACAGUCUCCAAGGAGUCUUGGUUCCUUCUGGCUCGAGAACUGGCUGUGCUGGGAGAGUGAGCCCUGGUGCCCAGGGUCAUGUGGGUCUCCCCGCUGAGGGCAGGGCUGGGAGUCAGCUGCUACCACUCUGCGGACAGAAUGGAAACAAACUAUUUCUAGUCAAGGUCAUGAAACUCACAUCUCUAAUUUAGAUUUUAAGAAUAAUAAAUUAUUUUAACUUCAAUAUGCCUAAAUUAGAUUUUAACCCAUCACCCCAGAUGUAAUUAUGUAUCCUUGUAUUUCUACUUUCUUUCUGUGUGUCAUCAGCUGCCAUUUGUAAUCACUUUAUUGACCCUAAAAAGUGCAAAGCACCUCAUAAAUUGUCUCUACAUCUCAUCCCUUGACUGUUAGCAUGGAUACAAAAUAACUCAGCCUAUUGUAUACAUGUGGGGAGCACAGAACAAUGACACAGGCAGGGCCCGUUGAGUGUAUUUCAUAGGAGUCAGCCUGAUUUUUAAGGAUGUAAUUUAUAUGCCCAAAGACCUUUACCUACUUGCCUCCCCUCUCAGGCCUUCAUUUAACUCAUCCAUCAUAUAUAUUUUUUUAUCUAAAAAAAAGGAAACAGAAAAGGCCAGAUUCCAAUUCUGUGAGUCAGGAACGAAUUAAAUCCAGGAUCAAAUCUGCUUCAUUCCCUGAAGGAUCUUUGCAGGAUGCAUGUGGUCCUGAGAGCUCUCUCCUAGUCCCAUAAAACAAACCACUGAGCCUCACUCAGCCGUUCUUCCCUCGUGUGAACUUGCAGAUUAAAAGUGUUAAACUGUGUGAGAGCACUUUAUAAACCUGAACCAUGUGCAAAUUGUCGGCAUUUCUAUCACAAAUUAACGAUCAUGAUAAUGAGUGAGUUAUUUCAGGCACUAGCUGUAAGGCACUCACCUAAGCGUCAGCAGCCAAGUCCUUACAAAGUCCUUCUAUAUUGGGGAUUUCCAGCUCAGCGCUCUACCUGCCAGAUUAUGCAGCAUUUCGAAUAUGAAAAUGAAUUCCAUGGAUGAGAAGCGACCGUUCACCCACGGGCGGGGCUCUCCACUUUCCCUGCACCCCUGUCAGGAAGACGCCUGACCGGAAAGGCCCCACUUACCUGAGAUACAGGCCAGUCCCCUAAGGACAGUGACGCCAGCUGCUCUGCCCCUAAGAAGCACAGCAGACAGCUGCGUUAGGGUGUAAAGCACGCAAGCCUUCCCGGCCUGUUUUAUUCAUUCCAGUUCCCAGGACAGCCCUCCAAACUGACUGAGAGGCACACCUUUGUCACCAUUUCAACAGAACCAAACAAAGCAAGCUCAUGAUACAGCAGUUUAAUCAGAGGACGCAAAUCACUGUGCUCCCAUUUCCCUCACCCUUUGGUACAGGUCCUGCCUUCUAGACAGGAAAGAACUCAGCUCAGACACGGGCAGGAAGAAAAGCAAAGUGACUCUGCGCACCCGCACAUGGAUGUGACUGGAAGGCAGGAGGGAUGGAGGGCCACACACACGCUGCUGCACUUCUCCUCACGUGAAACCAUUCAAAAUGUUUGGCUUGUGAAAUGACGUUGGUCAAACCUCUCUUUCCCGUGGCUAAGGAGUGAAAGGCAAGCAUUGCAAACAAUACAUGAUUUUUGUAAAUUUAUUUAUGACACAGAUACAGUAAAGUAUACUUUUACGUACAGUUUUAUGAGAUUGACAAAUGCCCACAAUCAGGAUAGAGAGCAACUCCAGCAGCUCUCAACUGCUCUGCAUUCCAACACUCCACUUAUCCUGUAACCCUGACAACCACUACCAGUUCUUCAUCGCCAUAGAUUUGCUCUUACCCGAUGUCAUAUAAAUGGAAAAUGGUCCUCACUCAUUUGCAUAAUGUCUAAUGUAUUUUAAAUCUGACCAUGUUGUUGCAUGUAUGGGUAAUUUGUUCUUUUUCAUGGCCCUGUAGCAUUCUAUUGUCUGGCUACACUGGUAUUUGUUCAUUCAUUCGUCAGUUCAAGGGCACUGGUAUUUCCAGGUUUCCAGGUUUUGGUCAUUAUCAGUAAAUCCACUAUAAACAUGUACAUACAUGUUUCUGUGUGAUGUAAGUUUUUACUUCGUUGGGUAAAUACAAAGAAGUGUGUUUUGUGAGUCCUAUUAUGAGUGUCAUGUUUAACUUUGUAAGAAACUGCUAAAGUGGUUGUACCAUUUUGGAUUCCAUCCUGCUGUAUGUAUAAGAAUACCAGUUAGUCUACACCCUUACCAGCACUUAGUAUCAUCGAGAAUAAUUGUUGUUAUUAUUAUUAUUGCUAUUAUUA